GACGAACGCUGGCGGCGUGCUUAACACAUGCAAGUCGAACGGAAAGGCCCUGCUUUUGUGGGGUGCUCGAGUGGCGAACGGGUGAGUAGCACGUGAGUAACCUGCCCUUGACUUUGGGAUAACUUCAGGAAACUGGGGCUAAUACCGGAUAGGAGCUCCUGCUGCAUGGUGGGGGUUGGAAAGUUUCGGCGGUUGGGGAUGGACUCGCGGCUUAUCAGCUUGUUGGUGGGGUAGUGGCUUACCAAGGCUUUGACGGGUAGCCGGCCUGAGAGGGUGACCGGCCACAUUGGGACUGAGAUACGGCCCAGACUCCUACGGGAGGCAGCAGUGGGGAAUAUUGCACAAUGGGCGGAAGCCUGAUGCAGCAACGCCGCGUGCGGGAUGACGGCCUUCGGGUUGUAAACCGCUUUCGCCUGUGACGAAGCGUGAGUGACGGUAAAGGGUAAAGAAGCACCGGCUAACUACGUG
rnacentral:rRNA from 1 species